rnacentral:rRNA from 1 species
GUGGAUAACCUACUUAUAAGACUGGGAUAACUUCGGGAAACCGGAGCUAAUACCGGAUAAUAUUUUAGAACCGCAUGGUUCAAAACGUGAAAGACGGUCUUGCUAGUCACUUAAUAGAUAGGAUACCGCGUCUGCAUUACGCUAGUAUGGUAAGAGUAACGGCUUACCAGAGGCAACGAUGUCAUAGCCGAUCCUGACGAGGGUAGAUCGGCCACACUGGAACUGAGACACGGUCCAGACUCCUAGCGGGAGGCAGCAGUAGGGAAUCUUCCGCAAUGGGCGAAAGCCUAGACGGAGCAACGCCGCGUGAGUGAUGAAGGUCUUCGGAUCGUAAAACUCUGUUAUCAGGGAAGAACAUAUGUGUAAGUAACUGUGCACAUCUUGACGGUACACUAAUCAGAAAGCCACGGCUAACUACGUGCCAGCAGCCGCGGUAAUACGUAGGUGGCAAGCGUUAUCCGGAAUUAUUGGGCGUAAAGCGCGCGUAGGCGGUUUUUUAAGUCUGAUGUGAAAGCCCACGGCUCAACCGUGGAGGGUCAUUGGAAACUGGAAAACUUGAGUGCAGAAGAGGAAAGUGGAAUUCCAUGUGUAGCGGUGAAAUGCGCAGAGAUAUGGAGGAACACCAGUGGCGAAGGCGACUUUCUGGUCUG